rnacentral:rRNA from 1 species
GAUGAACGCUGGCGGCGUGCCUAAUACAUGCAAGUCGAGCGAACAGACGAGGAGCUUGCUCCUCUGACGUUAGCGGCGGACGGGUGAGUAACACGUGGAUAACCUACCUAUAAGACUGGGAUAACUUCGGGAAACCGGAGCUAAUACCGGGUAAUAUAUUGAACCGCAUGGUUCAAUAGUGAAAGACGGUUUUGCUGUCACUUAUAGAUGGAUCCGCGCCGCAUUAGCUAGUUGGUAAGGUAACGGCUUACCAAGGCAACGAUGCGUAGCCGACCUGAGAGGGUGAUCGGCCACACUGGAACUGAGACACGGUCCAGACUCUUACGGGAGGCAGCAGUAGGGAAUCUUCCGCAGUGGGCGAAAGCCUGACGGAGCAACGCCGCGUGAGUGAUGAAGGCCUUCGGAUCGUAAAACUCUGUUAUUAGGGAAGAACAAAUGUGUAAGUAACUAUGCACGUCUUGACGGUACCUAAUCAGAAAGCCACGGCUAACUACGU